GACGAACGCUGGCGGCGUGCUUAACACAUGCAAGUCGAACGAAGAAAGAGAAUCCGAUCUCUACGGAGUGAAGAAACGCGGGAGUAGUGGCGGACGGGUGAGUAACGCGUGAGCAAUCUGCCUUACACAAAGGGAUAGCCUCGGGAAACCGGGAUUAAUACCAUAUGAUAUCUAUUAAGCGCAUGGGCUAUAGGUUGAAGAAUUUCGGUGUAAGAUGAGCUCGCGUCCCAUUACUUAGUUGGUGAGGGUAACGGCGCACCAAGAUAGCGAUGGGUAGCCGGUCUAUGAGGAUGCCCGGCCACAUUGGAACUGAGAACCGGUCCCUACUCCUACGGGAGGCAGCAGUUGGUAAUAUUGCACCAUGGGGGAGACCCUGAUGCAGCGACGCCGCGUGAGCGAUGAAGGCGUUCGAGUCGUAAAGCUCUGUCCUAUGGGAAGAUAAUGACGGUACCAUAGAAGAAAGCCCCGGCUAACUACGUG
rnacentral:rRNA from 1 species